rnacentral:rRNA from 1 species
AUUGAACGCUGGCGGAAUGCUUUACACAUGCAAGUCGAACGGCAGCACGGGGGCAACCCUGGUGGCGAGUGGCGAACGGGUGAGUAAUACAUCGGAACGUGCCCAGUCGUGGGGGAUAACGUAGCGAAAGCUACGCUAAUACCGCAUACGAUCUACGGAUGAAAGCGGGGGACUCGCAAGGGCCUCGCGCGAUUGGAGCGGCCGAUGGCAGAUUAGGUAGUUGGUGGGGAAAGGCUCACCAAGCCAACGAUCUGUAGCUGGUCUGAGAGGACGACCAGCCACACUGGGACUGAGACACGGCCCAGACUCCUACGGGAGGCAGCAGUGGGGAAUUUUCCGCAAUGGGCGAAAGCCUGACGGAGCGACGCCGCGUGUGGGAAGAAGGCCUCGGUCGUAA